GUGAACGCUGGCGGUAGGCCUAACACAUGCAAGUCGCACGGCAGCACAGUAAGAGCUUGCUCUUACGGGUGGCGAGUGGCGGACGGGUGAGGAAUACAUCGGAAUCUACUUUUUCGUGGGGGAUAACGUAGGGAAACUUACGCUAAUACCGCAUACGACCUACGGGUGAAAGCAGGGGAUCUUCGGACCUUGCGCGAUUGAAUGAGCCGAUGUCGGAUUAGCUAGUUGGCGGGGUAAAGGCCCACCAAGGCGACGAUCCGUAGCUGGUCUGAGAGGAUGAUCAGCCACACUGGAACUGAGACACGGUCCAGACUCCUACGGGAGGCAGCAGUGGGGAAUAUUGGACAAUGGGCGCAAGCCUGAUCCAGCCAUACCACGUGGGUGAAGAAGGCCUUCGGGUUGUAAAGCCCUUUUGUUGGGAAAGAAAAGCAGCAGGUUAAUACCCCGCUGUUCUGACGGUACCCAAAGAAUAAGCACCGGCUAACUUCGUG
rnacentral:rRNA from 1 species